GGGAAGAGAUGGAAGUGUCCUAGGGGUGAAUCAGGAAGGGUUUCUGGCCAGAGGUAGUGAGGCUUGGAGCUUCAAGAGGGAAGGGAGAGAGGGUUGUCAGGGCACCGUGCAAGGCUCAGGAGAGAAGACAAGCCAAAGAAGGUUUGAGACAAUCUGAAGCUAUAUGGUGACUGUGAAAUAAAACUGUUUCUCCAUCUUCCCUCAAAUUUUUCAGUAAAAUCUGCCUGCUCCUCAAUAUUUUGUGGAGUGGACUUUGUUUUGGGGCAUUGUGGAACAAGUACUGGGUUCUGUUUCAGGAUUGGCAUAAGAUGAAAAGAGGCUGCCUGCAGCAGGGAACGGACAUGAGCCGCUGACAUGUGGGUCACCAAUGCUGUAUGGCAGCAUCUGUCUCCAUCAAAGCCUGGUUAUUGAUGAUCCAUGAGCCACAAAUUUCUGUCCCUCCCUGCUUUUUUCCCUCCAUUACUUCCUCCAGAUCCAGGUUGUACGUAAAUAAAUAUAGAGGGAAUUUAGUAAAAGUCCAUUUUAGGGUCAAGCCAUACAAUGAUGGGCUAACCAUUGCCUGUCUCUGAGCCACAUAGCCAGGCAGAGCUAAAGCUACAUGGACUAAAGCAGUAACUGCCAGUCACCCCUUGGAGGUCAUCAGCAGGAAGGGCAGAAGAAAUACGUUAAGGCCACAUUUAACAACGUGCAUGAGAAAUCUCUGCACACAGAUCAGUGUUGGGGUGGGUGGGGUGUGGGUGCAAUGUGACAGCAGGAGCGGGGUGUGGCCUCAGGCUUUAUAACCAGACUUGGGUGGUAUAAAUGGGAGGGACAGAGACACACAGCACCUCAUUCUACAGAAGUGCUGCCCAGGUAGAGUAACACUCAGCACCAACCUCUCUGGACUUCUUAUGGGAUUGGUUAGACAACAUGGAAAUAAAGCUGUAAUCAUGGAUUUCGUUCUUUGGGGUAUUGAGCUUCAUUUGCAAGUGCUCAGGUCCAUGGUUAUACACAUAGAUUGCAAAUUUGUGUUGUAACACAUGCCUACCAGAGGACAAAUAAGUAUAUGUCCUGCCGAUGCCUGGUAAGAGGUUUCUUCGUUGACAACAUAUAUGUAGUGAAAUUCUUACUUGCAAUGGAUUAAAUACGUAUUUUGUCUUGGAAAUACUUCGUAGAGUUUUAUUCUCUAAAAUGGUACAGGUUUUAAGUAAGUCACAUACAACCAUCUGAGCGGUGCUUUUCACGUCUGGAUAGAAAGGAGGGGGCUCUUAGGUCAUGCCCUCCUUUUUCAUUGUGGUUAAACUACAAACUAAGUUUUCAUGGAUGUCUAAAAAAUUAUAGCACAUGAUACAAUAUGAGAGCGAGCAGGCUACAAUAGUGACUGCCUUCUUCCAUAAAUUUCAGGGACAGUACUAAGCAAUGUCAUCUUGCUUAUUAUAAAACAGCAGCACAAGGACAAUAAAAUGGGUUUGAAACGAAUGUAUAAGAUAAAGUCUGUCUAUCUGACUAUGCCAAAAUAAAUUAGUCUUCUGAUGCUAAAGUUCAAUCUUAGAGGCAAUAUAUAAAAUUUAGAAUGGAAAACUAAACAGGGCUCAUUACUAGGCGAAGCAACCGCCAUUUAUGUUUCUUUUUAUGAGCACCCCUGGUCUAUUUUCCUUCCAGUUGUAAAAGCUGCAUCCUAAUCCAGCCCGGGAGCACAGCACUGGCCCAGAGACUCCGAAAGACCCCUCUUAGAUGACAUUUUGUGUCUUCUCAAAGGUGUCCACACUCUCCCCACCAUCUGCACAGUAUACCCGCUCACAACCUCAGGCUGAGGACAUCUUCCCUUCCCCAACUCACUGGCUGUCUCUCAACGGCCUCUCUCACUCUCCCCUUCCUACUGAGACCCUCCUAAGCAGGGAAUCAUAAAACAGUAAAAAUAGCCUGAAAAUGGUCCAAGAGGUCUAGUUAUCCUCCAGCUCCUGUCUCAAGUCCUGGUUCCCCAGUUUCAAGCAGGCAAGUUUGUCUAAGGAGCAAUUUCAUAGCUGAGAGGCUUUCUGUGCAAAGCUGCUUCAAUCCCGGCCCGCAGCCAUUGUUGUGUGAGCUCCAUCUACUGAGCAGCCUCUGGAGGUCUCUCCUGAAAGAAGGCCCGCGUGUUUGAGGCACACUGUUUUCAGCCAUGCCUGGGGACCCCAUCACUCUGCUUGGCCUUUCUCCAGAAUGCAAUGGGUACUGUGCGGACAUCUUUAUGUUGGCAGAACAAAUCAGUUCAGAGAAACACUAAAGUAAAUAACAAUUUCCUCAAAGACAAGAUACAAAGCGUCUUUGGUUGGGUCCAAGUAAGAGUUUUAACACAGGGGAUGAAGUGUCUCCUUAAAGGGGUGAACUAGCUGGACUGGUCCCACCCCAUCCACCCAGGGCUGUCGCGUCCCUCCCCCGGCUGCACUGCUGCCAUCUAGUGGUGAGACAGGAGAACGAAGAAAGGCAGAUUAAGCUUCGGAGAUUCCCAGCCCUUCUUUCCACCGGGACUGGGAAAAGGAGAGCAGGGAGGAGGGGUGAAGGCGAGAAAGGAGCACGUACUCGGCUGCCCACUGGAUGAGGUCCUGCGGCUGCGCCCGAAUGGCGGCUUUGGCAAACUCCUUCAGCAUCUUCGGCAGCUCCGGCGGGAUGCAUGUUGGCUUAUCUGUCUGAGCCAUUGAUUGGUUGGCCUAUUCUCAGAAGAAAAAUCCCUAAGAUGAAAACUUCGACUCAUACGAUGAGAGCAAUCCUGGACAGGAGGUCACCCAGCCUCUGUUUGACAUUCAAUUUUGGGGACUCUGCAAGACAAAUGCAUUCUAUGCUUACACAACGCCAAGGUUAGAAAGCCGUCUGCUAACCCCUACUUUUUGUUUUAAAUACUUAUGUCCUUUACAUAAAAAUUACACAGCCUUGUUCAUUUAAAAAGUGGAGGUCAGCAAAAAAUUCCCUAAUGAUAUCACCCCAAAAUAUUGGAUGUCUCCUUCCAGAAUUUUUCAGUAUAAAUAUAUAUGUUUGUAAAAUAAAAAAAUAAGAUUAUACAAAACAGCUUAUUUACUCAAAACUAUAUAAUGAACAUCCUUCCAUGUCGUCCAGCUCUUAUUAGCUGGGUAAGAAUUGUAGCAAAAUUUACUCUGAACCCUCUGUGAAUUGACAUUAGGCCAUUUCCACAUAAAAAUUAUCAUUAAACAGCCGUUUGAUGAGCGUC